AUGAUCACCAAACUUCUCAAUGGUUUUCCAGAUUUUGUUACAUCGCAUUAUAUAAAAUAUCGACUGGUUAGCCAAAGAUGCCAAACUGCGAUGCAAGGUACUUCAAGGUAAGGGUGAUGACGUGGAUUUGUUAGCGAGCCACCAGAGUUGAGAAAACUGGUGAAAGAUCUGCAACAACCAAACAAAAAUAAAGGAAUCAUUACAUAUAUUACUUAAUUGGGUUCAAGGUCUGGUAAGGGUAACGGGAAGGAUGAUUUGUUUGCGAGCCACGUCUCCUUUAAACCUCUUUUCGCCAGGCCCAUUAGGCUGUUCAUCCGAUAGUUGGCCAUUAGCCUUCUCUAUCCUGGGACUCAUCAAUAUAUAGGUACAAUUAGAUUAGAUGUAGCAUCCAACCUCUUUCCGCCAGGCCUAUUAGGCUGUUCAUCCAAU
rnacentral:lncRNA from 1 species